UUCAUCCUGUGUGUAAUAGGCUGCUAUAUUAGCGCAUCCUGACGGCAGCACAAGCUGCCCCAGUCCCAGUGCUGCUGCUGUGUACUCACUCAGCUCCCCUUCCAAGUUCCGGCAGGCUCUCGUGUUAUAGGAAGGCAGGGUGAGCUGUAAGUAGCCGGAGAGUAAGGAGGCGGAGCUGCUGUUCUGCACUGACCCGGAGGAAACGCCGCUGGAGAUUUACUGUAAGGUUGCUAAGCAACAGAAAAUGAAUGGAACCCUAGCUUGGCGCCGCCUGGUGACGUCGGGAUCCAGUGACGUCAGUUGCCUGCGCGCGGACCCGGCUGCACCGAGCGGCGUGGAGCAGGUGAAACAUUGCAAAUUAUCUGGUUAACAUUGAUCAAAGAGAUUCUAAGCGAUUCAUAAGGACAAGGUUCAUCAACCAGCAUGCAGGGUCGUAUAUUAAUAUGAAAGAAAAAAACUGUAGUAAUGAAUCCAAUUAACAAUGAAAGAAGAAAAGAAGAGGGGGAAGGAUGGAACAUGAAGGUGGUGGAGUGGGGGGACGACGACAAAUAUGAAUGAUCACACAUUUUCUCUUAACAACAUACCUCAAGUAAACUUAAACUAGCAAAGAGAAUCCAUCCUUCUGUCUCACAACAAGGAUAACCCAGCAUAGAGCAUGUGGUCUGCAGCAUCUCAAAGUUACUGUACUAACUAAAAACCAACUGGUUGUUUAAAUAAUGUAGAAUGCAAGUUUUACUUUGUGGCUCGAGAUUAUCAGUAUAUGCCCCCAUUUUAUACACCUGUGUGCGUUGCAUGCCUAUCAAAUUACAAUAAAAGUCUAACUGCAGAAAGUGGAGGUAAUUUAGACUUGAUCGGAGAUGUUAUAAAUUUAGCACAUCUACGAUCACUUUCACAGACAUGCGGGGGGACUCCCAGCACAGGGCUACUCCACCCCGCAUGUCUGGUUUUGACCCCCCCCCCCACCCGCACAGGCACAAAAGCAUUGCACGGUGUACCUGAAGAGUAGCUCCCUACCAGUGCAGCUCCUGCGCGCUGGCAGGGAGCUAUCCAUCGUUCUCUGGGUCGCAGUGGCUGCAUGUGACAUCACGCAGCAGCCGCGGCCCGCCCCCCGCAUGGUCUGGGCACAUCUGCGUUGCCUGGACCGCGCCCCCAAAAUGGUGGGCCAAUGCCCGCGCCCCCAAAGCGGCGGCCCGACGCCGCCGGCCUGCCCCCUACCGCCCAGCGAAUGCCUCUGCCUGUCAAUCAGGCAGAGGCAAUCGAUGGGCUGAGAUACCGAUCUCAUCUCUGGCAUGCACCAUCGCACUACGGUACCUGCGCAGUUCAGACCUGAUCGUCUGCUGUGCGAAAACGCACAGCAGCGAACAGGUCUGAAUUAGCCCCAGUAACGGAGCAGGAUCUGUUAGUCCAAUGCAAUGAGACGGCUUUCUGGGCUGCUAUUAUUAUAAAUGUAUUAAGAGGGAUUGAAGAUUUCUUGUUUGGGCCUAGAUACCAGCCAGAGAAAUGAAUAAACAAUAAAGCUAUUGGAGGUAGUUUAAUGGUAACCAUGGGAUACCAAAGGAGAAACUGACGCUUAAUUAUUGCACAGUGGAAGAGGGAAUUACCUAGGAAUAAAGGAUAUUCAAACAUUGACAGCUCU